GGCCAGGAAGAGGAGGAAGCCCUGGAGGGGCUGGAGGUGAUGGAUGUUUUCCUCCGGUUCUCAGGGCUCCACCUCUUUCGGGCC
rfam:Heterocephalus glaber contig12828, whole genome shotgun sequence.